CAGCAAUUUUCCACCCCUAUGUCUUCCCAGGUUGAUUACCCUAGAUUUAGUAAGUUGUUUUUGGACAUUCCAUUGCUGACACGCCCCCUCAGGUUGUUGGACGUGAACCUGAUGCUCAGGAUGCCUUCCCAGUUUCUGUCAAAGAUCUGACAACAGAUGUGCAGAUUACUGGAUGUACAGAACCUGAUAAUAAAUCUAAAAUGAAAACACCUCGUAUUAGAUCAAAGUAAUACACAAUUAUUCAAAAAUUGAAAGCAAGAUGUAACAGAUUACUCAGUAAAGUUCAAAGUUUGAAAAUGGUAAAAAGAGUUUUCACAAAAUGCAAAUUGCCAUCAGCAGUUUUAACCUAAAUGCAUCCAAAUAUUUGAAAGGUUUUGGAUUAGAAUUUUUCAAAACAAAUUCUGUUGAAUUCUGUUAAAACUAAGGGUUGACGAUACUAACAGUCCCAGCGCUGUCUGUAAUUUAGAAAUUCUAGAAUGUACUGUUUCCUAGCACAAAUAUUUAUUUUGCCUACACCAUGUAUGAUCAGGUACUGAAUUCAGAGGCUGAUAUUAAGCAAUGGGUGGAAUGAAUCAUUAUUCAGAUUAUUGAAAAAGAAAGCAGAAGCAAUGACACAACAAGAAAGGGUACAUGGAGUUGUUUUUGAUGCCAUUUCCAUCUAAAAAAGCAUUAAUUAUGAUGUCCAUCAAGACCAAUUUCAUAGUUUGGAAGAUUUAGGAGACUAUAGAAGCUCAACAAACCAGCAAAUUAUGCCAUGGUCUUCAUGGCGGAAGGUCUGGCUUCAAAAUGGAAACAGAGCCUAGGCUAUUUCCUUUUUAAUAAGAGCAUAAAGCCAGAACUUUUGAAAACAAUGGUCAUUAAUUGUUUGAUGAAAUUACAAAUGAUAGGAAUGACUCCAAAAUUUGUUAUUGCUGAUUUUUUUCAAAACCCAGUAUUUCACUGGCUUCACCAUUUACAGUUGUAAAGGAUGAAAAAAUAUAUUUCUUUUAUGAUCCUCCUUACUUAUUAAAGAGUAUCAGGAAUAACCUUAUCAAAAGUGACUUUAUAGUAAAUGAAAAAACUAUUAAAUGGAAAUAUAUUGAAAAAUUCUGUGAAAGAGACAGCAGCAUGUCUCUGAAAUUAGCUUUCGAGAGAAUGAGGGUAUGAUUAGCUGCAGAAGUUUUGAGUCACACUGUCGCUGCUGGAAUAAACACAUAUGCUGAAAUUGGGUACUCUCUCUGAAGAGGCAAAGUAUACAGCAACUAUCUUGAAAUGAAAUUGAUAGUUUAUUUGACAUUUUCAAUAUUAAUCAUAUCAGUCAUUAUAAGAGCAAGAGAUGUGCAUUUGUUUCCAAUAAUGGUCAGUUAAAAAAACUCAAACAUUUAGAAAUAUGGUUGAAUUCUUUAGGUCC
rnacentral:lncRNA from 1 species